UACGGAGGGAGCUAGCGUUAUUCGGAAUUACUGGGCGUAAAGCGCACGUAGGCGGCUUUGUAAGUUAGAGGUGAAAGCCUGGAGCUCAACUCCAGAACUGCCUUUAAGACUGCAUCGCUUGAAUCCAGGAGAGGUGAGUGGAAUUCCGAGUGUAGAGGUGAAAUUCGUAGAUAUUCGGAAGAACACCAGUGGCGAAGGCGGCCCACUGGACUGGUAUUGACGCUGAGGUGCGAAAGCGUGGGGAGCAAACAGG
rnacentral:rRNA from 1 species